rnacentral:rRNA from 1 species
CAGCCGCCGGGUAAUGCGAAGGGGGCUAGCGUCGCUCGGAAUUACUGGGCGUAAAGGGAGCGUAGGCGGAUCGUUAAGUUGGGGGUGAAAGCCCGGGGCUCAACCUCGGAAUUGCCUUCAAUACUGGCGAUCUUGAGUAUGAGAGAGGUGUGUGGAACUCCGAGUGUAGAGGUGAAAUUCGUAGAUAUUCGGAAGAACACCAGUGGCGAAGGCGACACACUGGCUCAUUACUGACGCUGAGGCUCGAAAGCGUGGGGAGCAAACAGGAUUAGAUACCCCUGUAGUCCCUGUCUCUUAUACC